GCAGCCUGGGAGUUGUAGUCCAACCAUUCCCCUACUCCUCGUAAAGCAGGCUGGGAGCUCCCCCACACGCCCGUCAGGGAUUUGCCCAGAGAGUCGAAGGAGGAAGCGGCUGAAACCGUGGCGCCGAAAUGCGGUUUUCUACACUGGCUGGAUGCGGCGGCCAGAAGCGCUCAGAAGAUUCCUACCAGUGGGAAAUGAGAGAAAGAUAACUUCUACAAAGUCCCGAAUGCAGGGAGACUUCCCUAGAACGUGAAUUUUGCGCGCCGGGAAACCUUCUAAGCCCUUGGCCCCUUCGUAGAACUGAAAUUUGAGAAACUUGAAAAAUGAAAGUUGGGUUUAGAAUUGCACUGAGACUAGGCUUGCCCACCCCCAACCCCAGCCCCACUCUUUGCGCCGCCCUCUAAGGCAGGGCCUGAGGCUGUUGGAGAAAAACUUGCAGAUUCUUCUGUUAAAGUGAAGGAAAAAAAAAAAGUGAAGGGAGUUCAAAGACCUUUACUGGAGGCUUCCGCCACGCCACAAUCUGCUGCCAGUCUGGAGCUGAGGACAAGGCCCAGAUACACCACAGGCCUCCUCUGAGGGCAUGAAGUGUCUUUACUGCUGGGCACAGGCGCUUCUCCUUUUCCCUCAGAGGUCUAGAGUCGUUUCAAUAAACUUUUCCUGCGUAUUUUCUUUGUACCAGGCACUGUGUAGAGGCUGAAUGCAGAGAUUUCUUAAAAGAUCUUCCCAGCAGGCGAUGACAAUCUAGUUACAGACUACAAACAGAGGAAAACGAAGCCUUAAAAUGAAAUGACUGCUAGAGUGGAAGUUCAAAGUACUGCAGAAAAUAGGGGCAAGCAUAGCAUCUGAAAAGGGGGUCUGGGCAACUUUCCCAAACGUUCUGGAGAUUAAACAGGGCCUUGAAAUACGGGAAGACUGUAGUGGAGCUGAUGAACCCAGGUGGCAAAGUCGGAGGUGAAGGGAAAGGUCAUUGAGAAAGUGCAGAAACCUCACAGCUCUCGCAGAAACCCGGGAUAACUGCGCGGGCGCGGUUCAAAUAAAAGUGGAACCCAAAGGGAUCUUCAGAAAUGUGUUAUGAAGUUGAAACUUGAUUCUGUAACCAAGAGGAGCCUAUCCCCCAAAAAAGUGCAAGUGCUGGAGACCUAAGUGCCUCUUCAGUUUCCAAAGAAAACCCAGGUGGUGUUAAAAAAAAAAAAACUUGCUGAUGAGUAUGAAAAGCAGAC